rnacentral:rRNA from 1 species
UUGGACCUUACUUAAGUUAGUAAUUCAGUUUGUAUACCGUCGUUAUAAGAAUAUUUUAUUAGAAUAAUAAUUUUCUAGAAUUUUUAUAAAAAUUUAUAUCAGAUCAAGGUGCAGCUUAUAUUUAAGAAGAGAUGGGUUACAAUAAAUUUAUUUAUAUGAAUUAAUUUUUGAAAAAGAAUUAUGAAGGUGGAUUUGAAUGUAAAAUUAUAAAGAUUAAUAAUUUGAUUUUAGCUCUAAAAUAUGUACAUAUCGCCCGUCACUCUUAUUAUUAAGGUAAGAUAAGUCGUAACAUAGUAGAUGUACUGGAAAGUGUAUCUAGAAUGCAAUUUAAAGCUUAAAUAGGAAAGCAUUUCAUUUACAUUGAAAAGAUUUUUGUGCAAAUCAAUAUAAAUUGAAUAGAUUUUAUUUAUUAAUAUAUUUAGUUUUUUAUAUUUUAUAUUAGAAAUAACUG